rnacentral:rRNA from 1 species
UACGAAGGGGGGCUAGCGUUGUUCGGAAUUACUGGGCGUAAAGGGCGCGUAGGCGGCCAUUCAAGUUAGGCGUGAAAGCCCUGGGCUCAACCUAGGAAUUGCGCUUGAUACUGUUUGGCUUGAGUUCGGGAGAGGUGAGUGGAAUUCCCAGUGUAGAGGUGAAAUUCGUAGAUAUUGGGAAGAACACCAGUGGCGAAGGCGGCUCACUGGACCGACACUGACGCUGAGGCGCGAAAGCUAGGGGAGCAAACGGG